CAGUCGAGCGGUAGCACAGAGAGCUUGCUCUCGGGUGACGAGCGGCGGACGGGUGAGUAAUGUCUGGGAAACUGCCUGAUGGAGGGGGAUAACUACUGGAAACGGUAGCUAAUACCGCAUAAUGUCGCAAGACCAAAGUGGGGGACCUUCGGGCCUCAUGCCAUCAGAUGUGCCCAGAUGGGAUUAGCUAGUAGGUGGGGUAACGGCUCACCUAGGCGACGAUCCCUAGCUGGUCUGAGAGGAUGACCAGCCACACUGGAACUGAGACACGGUCCAGACUCCUACGGGAGGCAGCAGUGGGGAAUAUUGCACAAUGGGCGCAAGCCUGAUGCAGCCAUGCCGCGUGUGUGAAGAAGGCCUUCGGGUUGUAAAGCACUUUCAGCGGGGAGGAAGGCGGUGAGGUUAAUAACCUCAUCGAUUGACGUUACCCGCAGAAGAAGCACCGGCUAACUCCGUGCCAGCAGCCGCGGUAAUACGGAGGGUGCAAGCGUUAAUCGGAAUUACUGGGCGUAAAGCGCACGCAGGCGGUCUGUCAAGUCGGAUGUGAAAUCCCCGGGCUCAACCUGGGAACUGCAUUCGAAACUGGCAGGCUAGAGUCUUGUAGAGGGGGGUAGAAUUCCAGGUGUAGCGGUGAAAUGCGUAGAGAUCUGGAGGAAUACCGGUGGCGAAGGCGGCCCCCUGGACAAAGACUGACGCUCAGGUGCGAAAGCGUGGGGAGCAAACAGGAUUAGAUACCCUGGUAGUCCACGCCGUAAACGAUGUCGAUUUGGAGGUUGUGCCCUUGAGGCGUGGCUUCCGGAGCUAACGCGUUAAAUCGACCGCCUGGGGAGUACGGCCGCAAGGUUAAAACUCAAAUGAAUUGACGGGGGCCCGCACAAGCGGUGGAGCAUGUGGUUUAAUUCGAUGCAACGCGAAGAACCUUACCUGGUCUUGACAUCCACAGAACUUUCCAGAGAUGGAUUGGUGCCUUCGGGAACUGUGAGACAGGUGCUGCAUGGCUGUCGUCAGCUCGUGUUGUGAAAUGUUGGGUUAAGUCCCGCAACGAGCGCAACCCUUAUCCUUUGUUGCCAGCGGU
rnacentral:rRNA from 1 species